GCGAAGCGUAUUAGCGGAAGUUUUCGGAUGGAAGCGGAUAUGACUUAGCGGCGGACGGGUGAGUAACGCGUGGAUAACCUGCCCCAUACAGGGGGAUAACAGUUAGAAAUGACUGCUAAUACCGCAUAAGCGCACAGGACCGCAUGGUCCGGUGUGAAAAACUCCGGUGGUAUGGGAUGGAUCCGCGUCUGAUUAGCUGGUUGGUGAGGUAACGGCCCACCAAGGCGACGAUCAGUAGCCGACCUGAGAGGGUGGCCGGCCACAUUGGGACUGAGACACGGCCCAAACUCCUACGGGAGGCAGCAGUGGGGAAUAUUGCACAAUGGGGGAAACCCUGAUGCAGCAACGCCGCGUGAGUGAAGAAGUAUUUCGGUAUGUAAAGCUUUAUCAGCAGGGAAGAAGAAAGACGGUACCUGACUAAGAAGCCCCGGCUAACUACGUGCCAGCAGCCGCGGUAAUACGUAGGGGGCAAGCGUUAUCCGGAUUUACUGGGUGUAAAGGGAGCGUAGACGGCUGUGCAAGUCUGAAGUGAAAGCCCGUGGCUCAACCGCGGAACUGCUUUGGAAACUGUAUAGCUUGAGUACUGGAGAGGCAGGCGGAAUUCCUAGUGUAGCGGUGAAAUGCGUAGAUAUUAGGAGGAACACCAGUGGCGAAGGCGGCCUGCUGGACAGAAACUGACGUUGAGGCUCGAAAGCGUGGGGAGCUAAAAGGAUUAGAUACCCUGGUAGUCCACGCGGUAAACGAUGAAUGAUAGGUGUGGGGGAGCAAAGCUCUUUGGGGACUGUCGCAAACGCAGUAAGCAUUCCACGUGGGGAGUACGUUCGCAAGAAUGAAACUCAAAGGAAUUGACGGGGACCCGCACAAGCGGUGGAGCAUGUGGUUUAAUUCGAAGCAACGCGAAGAACCUUACCAAGUCUUGACAUCCUCUUGAAUGAUGGGUAAAGCCGUCAGGCCUUCGGGACAGGAGAGACAGGUGGUGCAUGGUUGUCGUCAGCUCGUGUCGUGAGAUGUUGGGUUAAGUCCCGCAACGAGCGCAACCCUUAUCCUCAGUAGCCAGCGGCCAGGCCGGGCACUCUGUGGAGACUGCCAGGGAGAACCUGGAGGAAGGUGGGGAUGACGUCAAAUCAUCAUGCCCCUUAUGAUUUGGGCUACACACGUGCUACAAUGGCGUAAACAAAGGGAAGCGAAGUGGCGACACGGAGCGAACCCCAAAAAUAACGUCUCAGUUCGGAUUGUAGUCUGCAACUCGACUACAUGAAGCUGGAAUCGCUAGUA
rnacentral:rRNA from 1 species